UAAGUGCCUGGGCACCUGAGCGGGCUCUUGAGCCCUCUCCAGCUCUUGCAAACCCCUGUGCUCCUGGUCUGAGAGCAGAGUGCUUCUUCUAACUUCAUCCCUAGUCUUUUUCAUAGGUUUGAGACCCAGGAGCUUCGCUCCUACCUCCUCUAGGUGGUAGCACCCACAUAGACUGGGCAAGUUGGCCACCUAUUCAGUUCCCCCGGGGCAGGACUCGUGAUCCCCCUACCUCUGGUCAGUUCCCGAACCAACUCAAGCAACUCAGUUUCCCCCGCACCCCGCAUCCAGCCCCCGGGACCCCCGUCUCUCUCUCUCUCUCUCUCUCUCUCUCUCUCUCUCUCUCUCUCUCUCUCUCUCUCUCUCUCUCUCUCACACACACACACACACACACACCUUCCUUUCAGAUUCAGCCCCGCCCCCACAAGCUUCAUCCAACGUUUUCGUCUUUUUUCCUUCCUUCUUUUUUUUCUUAUUGUCCCCCUUGAAACCCAGAAUAGAUUCUGAAACUAAAUAUAAUUCCAAGGCAUGAUCGAUUUCUAAGGCACUGUCUCCUUUCGAAGCUGGGUCGAUCUGUGCGUCUGGUAACUCAGGUCUGGUUCCCAUUUCGCCCGACCCUGAGAUCAGGUCAGCAGCCACUAUUAGCAGUGUGGGUGGAUUUUUGUUUGUUUUGUUUUUGUUUUUGUUUUUCCUCAGCUCUUUCCCUUUUUGUUCAUGUCGGGACUGUAAGCUUGUUGAAGGCAAGCGUAGCCUUUGCUUCCACUCCUAACCUGGCUUCUAGCCCAUGCAAGUUAGAAACGCUAGUUGGAGUUCCUGGAACUCAGGCUGCCUUCUAGUGACUUUCUCUAUUUGAGUUAAUAGGGCCCAGGGACCCGGGCACAGGACUUUCCGUUUCCACAAUUAGUAACAAAUACCAACAUUUACAGACACUGCAAGGCCCUAGGGACAACUCCUCUUCCACAGAACUGCAAAAUAUAUCGCCCCUGGGAAGCCAAGGACACAUGAACUAGUCCUUUCUUUAGGUGACCCAGAUGGGGACAGAGCACUUCUGAAAGGGGAGUAUGGAGAAGAGCCAACACCCACCCUGGGCUGGGAAAAGCGAACUUCACCCACUUGCUGAGCCCUAUUAACUCAGUGGGGUCUGAAUCCAGCUGCCCACAACUGCAGGGGUCUUGCCCUUCUCUUGACCAUGAUUUCAGGACCUUAGUCUGGCUAAAAAAAAAAAAAAAAAAAAAAAAAAAAAAAAAAAAAAUCUUUUUUAAAUGCUGGGAAUAUACCAUGUUUUAGCAAAUGCUGGAAGUUCUGGGGUUCUGGAAACCUGUCCUGCCUGGCAGGUUCAUUCUUAUCUGAUGUUUGAAAUUAAAUUCUCCCCCACAACUCCGUUUUAUUGUAGCAAAAUACCGGCCACUUCUUGGAGUUUCUAGUGGGUACAGAGGUAUUUAGGAAAGUUUAUAGCUAGAUGGACACUUCCCAGCUGAUCAUAACUUAAGUGAACACCCCUCUUCCUUGUUUAGGAAGAGAGGAGUCAUGCAUGCAUGAAGCCAUGGUGUGGAAAAAACGGGCACCUCAGCCUCUGGGAACAAAGACUCCUUUCUUCAGCUUUAUUGCAAGGGGAGUUUGUGGGAAAGGUGGAAUACAUCUGUUUAUACAGCUGUUUGGUUUUUUUUUUUUCCAAAAGGAAAAGAAAAUGUAUGCUGCCAGAGAUAGGGGCAUUUCUAAAGCCGGCAGAAAGGUCCACUGCAGCGGGCUUUCCUGGAUGCCUCAGCUAUUGCCAGCUGAUGGCGGUCUGGUCCACUAUUGAGAAAACACCACCCAGCCAGGCAAUGAGGGCCUCUUCUCUCCCAGGGCCCUGCGGGUAGUUGGCCAUGCUGUCACCCAGCUUGAGCAAACAGUCUGAAAAGCCCUUAAAGACUGCAUCGCACUUGCCUGCUGCUCUCACGGCCUGCACCAGCAUGGAGUCUCUUGUUUGUGAAACUCUUAGGUGAAUACUUCCUCUGCACCUCUGAAGAAGGGCAAUAAAUGUCCAGGGACCUAGCUGGGGUGAGGAUUGGUCUCAGUAGCUCUCUCUCUCUCUGUGUGUGUGUGUGUGUGUGUGUGUGUGUGUGCGUGCGCGCGCGCGCGCGCAGCACCCUGUUUUCUCUUUGAGUCUCUGUAUCUCAAACCUUUGCACACCCCCUUUAUGUCUCUGGAAACCGCUAGAUCAGACCUUUCUUCUCAAGGUUGCAGCUAGGCUGCUAGGGACCCAACAAGCUGCGGCCUAGGGCCCUGGCUCUGAGGGGGUUGGGGUGGGGUGGGGGUUGGAGGAGGUAGAAGCUGUGACAGAGGCAGUGGGGGAGAGAAGAAAACAGAAUCAGGCCACACUGAGGUCCUAGCUCCCAUACUCAAGCCAACCAAACUCGGAGGCGGUGAAUUUAAGAGCUGCCAGCUUCCCGGCAGACCAGCGCAUUUAAAAACCCAUUUCUCCCCACACGGCUAACAAACACCCCGGGUACCCGAAGGGCUUGAGAGGGGCUCAAAUCUCCGCUAUAAUGGCGGGGGAGGGGUGGAGGGAAAAGGUGAAAUCAGGAAUGGAAAUGGGCCGUGGGCUCUGGGGGUCCGAGCACAGGCCUCUUCUGCCUCCAUCCCGGUGUGAAAGCUAGCAACCGUCCCAGUCUUAGGCAGCUACCUGUCCCUGAACAUCAAACUACUGCAGACUCCAGGGAAGGUGACCCAGUCAGCCACAGCCAGCCGAGAGCUGCGCUUGGCAGAUUGCAGCAGGAAGAGCUAGGCGGGACUACUGCUUUCUAAUCCGGAACGGGAAGCUCUGCGGAAGGGAGCGAGGUUAACUUCCACCUCAGCUGGGACAAACACACAACCUUCCAUAGACCUAGACUCUCCUUCACACCGAUUUUUAAAAACCCUUGGCACUAUAAUAAAAGCAGAAUUUAAACACUGACACCGUGUCUUAUAAAUAAAUCGUUGUUCUACUGUAGCUCGGUCACGAUGAAAGAAAUCCUAUUUAGCUUCCUCUAUAAUGUAUGUUACCAACAUGCCUUUGCAAAAAGAAAACAAAAUGCGACCUAGCCUCUCUGGCUGCAGGCUCUUCCUGACUCAUUGACCUCCAAAAUUCGGUGUCCGAUUUGAAAAGAGGGGUUGGGGCUUUCUGGAGGCGGGAAAUCUCCCUGUCACUUUAUUUUUCCAGGCGUUGCUGGAUCAGACCCUGUAGGGCGCAUGUGUGUGAGCGUGUGUAAAAUACGAAUUCGGGAACAUUUCUGUGUCUCGCAAUUGUGGCUUCUAGAAAUCAAGCUUGCACUGGAAAGCCGGAAGCAGUGCGCGGGACAGAGGUUGCAGGCAUAAGCCUCUGAGCACAUCGGUCGAGUUCCCGGUCCUUUCUGAACCUGGUUUCUGUAACCCCCAGGCAGGCAGCCGACCCGUCUCCUCUACAUCCCUAUCCAGUGCGGUUUUCAUUUGCUCAUUCAUUUCUUGGAUCUCUCUCAUUCAUUCCAAACUUCCUCAUCCUCUACUUCCCCGCCCCUCCCCAACCCCCACGCUUCUUGCCAAAUGUCAGUAAUUUGGGAGAGCUUCCAUCUAUGAAUUAAUAAAGACUGAAGCUCUGAUGCAAAAAAAAAAAGGGGGUAGACAUUUGGGGGCACAUACAUUUUAAUUCCACUAUGAAAAUGAUGGUCAUUUUUCAGGCCGAGGUUAAUCAAAUGAAUCCCUCCUGCAAAUCACUGUUUCACUAUAUUCUAUUUUCACCCAUUAGGAAACAGAGUCUCUAAACAUCCUCCAGGUGAAUCCCCUAUCUUAAAACACUCGCUUUUUCUUAAUCUGUGAACAUUGGUCAUCUAACUACAAAAUGCCAUGCUCACUCAUUUCCAAUACUUAAAGAAUUUGCUGCCCUUGGGAUCCAUGUCCUAUGAUGGUUGCAGCUCUUUGAACUAAUGUCAAAGGCACAAAACCACCAGAUACAACGCAUUAAGUCAUUUCCUAAAAUUAAAGGAAAAGCCAACAUCCUGCUGCAUGCUCCUUGCUUUGCAAGACCCCAGUUUCUGCAAAACAAUAAACAAACAAUCAAAAAAAAUCCCCCAAAUCAAAUUCUCAAGAUUAUGUCAAAUGCAUAUGGACCCCGAUGGAAAGAAUCAGUUUUAAUGUUCCAGGAGCCCCAAUUCCUCUACAUUUCUUAUGAAGAAAAAAAUGUUAAGCAUCCCCGUCUCCUGUCCCACACAAAUUCCCUGAAGAGCCCCUGAAAUUCUGCAAGGAUUUGUCUGUAAAGAAUGCUAUAUCCUGGCACGAUAACAGCUUUCUCCAUCUCCAGAAUAACCACAGGAGAGUUUCUAUUUUUUCCUUUUGUCCAUUCUAUUAAUAAACUGCUUUACUUUCACUUUUCAGCUACGUUAAUUAAUGUUCCAAUCCGGUAUCAGACAAGCAAAUUCACUAGUAUUUAAAGCAUUUGCAUAUUGGAUGGAAAAAAAAUAUGAACUUUAAGAAAGCUUCCCAACAGUGUAGCUGAGACUCGACAUUCCUUAACAUAAAAUGGGGGACUAAGUCAAUCCAUCCACAAACAGCCGCAAACAAAAAUGACAAACACACGAAAAGACAUAUUGCAAACACGGUAAAGCCCUUUCCUGUAUAAAAAGACUAGCGAUGGUAAUAUGUAAAAUCACAGACACACAUGAGCCUGAAAAAGUAUAUCGGUGCAUAUUUGGUUGAUUUAUCCUUCUCAGAGUAGUCUGCGGUGCCGGGAGCAAACGCUGCAGCUCGGAUAUAGGGGGAGGGGCGGGGGAAGGACAAAGUUCUAAAUGCUGCAGUUUGAGGGCAGCCUUGGAAUAUCUUCGCUUUCUGCAUAUAAACUUUUCAGCCCUCAGCUGCCUAGGCAUCUUAUUCUUGCCUUCACGUUCCGACCCCUCAAGAUAGUAUCUUGCAGUAUAACAUGGGACAAAUGCUACGAGCGCUCAGAUCCUGUUUCAACCCCGAAAAGAGAGAAAAAAAAAUGGAUGUGCGCUUUGGAGAAAAAGGGGAAAACCCCCCUUGGAAAAUAGCUGGUCACACACUUCCCUGCAGAAGAAAUUUCUUUCUUUAGGAAGACCCAACCAGGACUCCAGAGUCCCCAAGAGCUAAUACCCGGAUCCCGGGAGUCUGCAGGGUUUUCUGCAACCAGAGGCUGUUGCCGGCCAGCAAAGUCCCCUAAGGCGCCUCUGGGGCAGGCAAUCUCCAGCCGCCUACCGAGCCUUACCGGGCGGCCACUUACCU